rnacentral:lncRNA from 1 species
AAGCGGUGGCACUGUUACCUUCUCUCUCUUCCUCCUCCCAUGCUCGACGCUCCCUCUACACUCUACCCCAAUGCACCGAACCUUCCCGUCUAGCGCCUCCUCCGACGGCCAUCGCUCCCUCCUCACGGCGCCUUUCUCUCUCCACUGGAUGGCCUCAUCCUCAGGGCUGCAUUUUUCUCGACGCACUCUCGCAACGUCUUUCUUCCCAAAUCGUGCUUUCUCCCGACGGCCGAUUUCGCUCGCCUCUCUCCAUCCCCGACUCGCGACCGAGAAGCAAUCGCUCCGCCCUCUCGUUUAAUCUUCCAUCGACGACUUGCUUUCCGCUCUGCUCGAAGCGCUCUCUCGAGAAGCCCUAAAUCUGCGACCGCAAGUCAAGUUUGAUUUUAUUUCCUGAGUUUGUAUGGUCGCAUCUUUGUUUUGGGGGAG